UACGUAGGUGGCAAGCGUUGUCCGGAUUUACUGGGCGUAAAGGGCGCGUAGGCGGCCCGCUAAGUCGAACGUGAAAUCCCCGAGCUCAACCCGGGAACUGCGUCCGAUACUGGAAGGCUUGAAUCCGGGAGAGGGAUGCGGAAUUCCAGGUGUAGCGGUGAAAUGCGUAGAUAUCUGGAGGAACACCGGUGGCGAAGGCGCAUCCUGGACCGGCAUUGACGCUGAGGCGCGAAAGCCAGGGGAGCAAAGCGGG
rnacentral:rRNA from 1 species